UACGAAGGGGGCUAGCGUUGCUCGGAAUGACUGGGCGUAAAGGGCGCGUAGGCGGCUUGCACAGUCAGGCGUGAAAUUCCUGGGCUCAACCUGGGGACUGCGCUUGAGACGUGUGGGCUUGAGUGGGGAAGAGGGUCGUGGAAUUCCCAGUGUAGAGGUGAAAUUCGUAGAUAUUGGGAAGAACACCGGUGGCGAAGGCGGCGACCUGGUCCUUGACUGACGCUGAGGCGCGAAAGCGUGGGAGCAAACAGG
rnacentral:rRNA from 1 species